UGGGGAAUAUUGCACAAUGGGCGAAAGCCUGAUGCAGCGACGCCGCGUGAGGGAUGACGGCCUUCGGGUUGUAAACCUCUUUCAGUAGGGAAGAAGCCGCGAGGUGACGGUACCUGCAGAAGAAGCGCCGGCUAACUACGUGCCAGCAGCCGCGGUAAU
rnacentral:rRNA from 1 species